UUGGAGUGGUCUGGACGGCGACGACGGCAUGAGGGCGCCGUCCUUCCUGCUCGAGGAGGCAGAGGACGAGGGGCAGACCUAGCUGGCGGCCCUGUCCUGCUCGAGGAGGCGGGGCCUGCCGAGCUCAAGCACGGCCACAACGACCCAGCUUGGUAGUACAGUAGUUUUGGCAAAAAAGAAAAUGGGGAAAGGAGUAUCAGCACGCGAGGAGCAAAGUUCUUUGCUAUCUUGGCUUUACUGAUUCGGAGCAGCAGGCAUCCUCCGUUGACGAUGACGACAACCAGGGCAUCCACCGGCACGACGACGCCCCACACAUGGUCCAACUCAGCUACAACCUCCUCUACCGCGUGA